rnacentral:rRNA from 1 species
GGUGUGUACUGGUCUUGAUGGAAGCUUACCUCUUGGUGGGUCGGCAUGCCCUUCGUUGGGUGUGUCGAUUAACCAGGACUUUUACUUUGAGAAAAUUAGAGUGUUCAAAGCAGGCUUUCGCCCGAAUACAUUAGCAUGGAAUAAUAGAAUAGGACGCGCGUCUUUAUUUUGUUGGUUUCUAAAUUCGCCGUAAUGAUUAAUAGGGAUAGUCGGGGGCAUUCGUAUUGCUUGGUCAGAGGUGAAAUUCUUGGAUUCUAGCAAGACGAACUACUGCGAAAGCAUUUGCCAAGGAUGUUUUCAUUGAUCAAGAACGAAGGUUAGGGGAUCGAAAACGAUCAGAUACCGUUGUAGUCUUAACAGUAAACUAUGCCGACUAGGGAUCGGACAAGCACAAUCUAUGACUUGUUCAGCACCUGAAGAGAAAUCUUUAAGUCUAGGUUCGGGGGGGAGUAUGGUCGCAAGGCUGAAACUUAAAGGAAUUGACGGAAGGGCACCACCAGGUGUGGAGCCUGCGGCUUAAUUUGACUCAACACGGGGAAACUCACCAGGUCCAGACACAAUAAGGAUUGACAGAUUGAUAGCUCUUUCUUGAUCUUGUGGUUGGUGGUGCAUGGCCGUUCUUAGUUGGUGGAGUGAUUUGUCUGGUUAAUUCCGAUAACGAACGAGACCUUAACCUGCUAAAUAGACCCGGGGCCUUAGGGAACCGGCUGUCUUCUUAGAGGGACUGUAGG